GCUUCAAUAGCAUAGUGGUAAUGCAUCGUAUGGAAACAAGUACGACGGCGAGGAUCCGGGUUCGAUUCCCGGUACGAAGCA